GCUCCUGGGGCUGCGCGCCGCGCGGCGGGUGGUCGCGAGCGCGUAAGCCUGCCCCCCGAGCAAGCCCACUGGCUGCUGGGUGCACCGCACUACCUCCCGCCUGGGGCGAACGCACGUGCCGGGGGCGGGAGCAGCGGUUGUUAACUGCCGAGGUCGCCAUCGGCCGCAGUCGCGGCUAGCUCAGCGAUGGCGUCGGAACCCUGGGGAGGCGACGCUGGAGUGGCGGAGAGUGAGCGGCCGAACUGCCAGCAGAAGAGCCUUCAGGGUAUUAAGAGUUCUACCACUGCAAAUGUAGGAGGUUCUAUUAAUCACACCGAAGAUGAUGAUGAAAAUAUAGUGGAUUUGGCAGCCAAUUCACUCUUGAACAAGUUAAUCCGACAGUCCUUAGUCGAAUCCUAUCACCAGGUAGAAGUCUUACAAAGGGAUCCCAGUUCUCCACUCUACUCAGUGAAAUCAUUUGAGGAGCUACGGCUAAAAGAAGACCUAUUAAAAGGGAUCUAUGUAAUGGGAUUUAAUAGACCAUCUAAAAUCCAAGAGAUGGCUCUCCCUAUGAUCCUGGCAUAUCCACCUCAGAACCUCAUAGCCCAGAGCCAAUCUGGAACAGGAAAAACAGCUGCUUUUGUCUUGGCCAUGCUGAGCAGAGUUAAUGCCUUGGAGUUAUUCCCACAGUGCCUCUGCCUGGCUCCCACUUAUGAACUGGCUCUGCAAAUUGGCUCCGUGGUUCUGCAGAUGGGAAGAUUCUGUGUGGAUAUUGACGUGAUGUACGCCAUUCGGGGGAAUCGAAUUCCCAGAGGCACUAACAUCACCAAACAGAUUGUCAUUGGCACUCCUGGGACUGUCCUAGAUUGGUGUUUCAAGAAAAACUUAAUUGAUUUGACUAAGAUUCGUGUGUUUGUCCUGGAUGAAGCAGAUGUGAUGAUUGCCACACAAGGAUUCUUAGAUCAAAGCAUUCGUAUUCAGAGAGCUUUACCCUCUGGGUGCCAGAUGCUGCUCUUUUCAGCGACCUUUGGGGACUCAUUGUGGCGGUUUGCAGAGCAAAUCAUUCCUGACCCUAAUGUUAUCAAGUUACGAAAAGAGGAGCUGACCCUGGACAACAUCCGUCAGUAUUACGUGUUAUGUGAGGAUAGGAGAGACAAAUACGAAGCUCUGUGCAACAUUUACGGUGGCCUCACCAUUGCUCAGGCCAUCAUCUUCUGCCAGACUCGUCAGGAUGCCAAGUGGCUGAGUGUGCAGAUGGCGCAGGACGGCCACCAAGUGUCUCUGUUGAGUGGAGAGCUGACCGUGGACCAGCGAGCUUCUGUUCUUCAGAGGUUUCGUGAUGGAAAAGAGAAAGUUCUCAUAACGACCAAUGUCUGUGCACGAGGGAUCGAUGUGAAGCAGGUCACAGUUGUUGUGAACUUUGACCUCCCUCUAAACCAAGCACAGGAGCCAGACUACAAGAUCUACCUUCACCGCAUUGGGCGGACAGGACGCUUUGGGAAAAAAGGCUUUGCCUUCAACAUGAUUGAAGUGGAUAAGCUGCCCCUGCUUAUGAAGAUCCAGGACCACUUCAACAGCAAUAUUAAGCGACUCAACACUGAAGAUCUGGACGAAAUUGAAAAGAUUGAGUUUUGAAGAAACAGCUGUAUUGAUUGUGAAAUGUUCUAGUUUUUGUGAGAAUGUCCCAGUUGGUUUUGAAGGUCAAACACCCUUGUGUGGGCUACUGACACGAUUUUGGAUUUGGUUUAUAGAAUCCCAGCUGAUCAUGCCCCUUGUGAAGAUCUCCUGGUGCCACAAGAUGGCGGUAGAGCUCUACUGUUUUGGAAUUGAGCCGGUAGGCCGAAGGAAAAAGCCACGCAUCCUCGGACCUCAUUCCCAGGCCGCCCCUCUGGCCACUGAUGGCCUCCCUCCC